GAUGAACGCUAGCUACAGGCUUAACACAUGCAAGUCGAGGGACAGGCGCACGGGUGAGUAACACGUAUCCAACCUGCCCUUUACUCGGGGAUAGACUUUCGAAAGAAAGAUUAAUACCCGAUAUAAAGGAUGGGGAUGCGUUCCAUUAGGUUGUUGGUGAGGUACAGGCUCACCAAGCCUUCGAUGGAUAGGGGUGCUGAGAGGAAGGUCCCCCACAAUGGAACUGAGACACGGUCCAAACUCGUACGGGAUGCAGCAGUGAGGAAUAUUGUUCAAUGUGCGCUAGCCUGACCCAGCCAAGUAGCGUGAAGGAUGAAGGCUUAUGGGUCGUAAACUUCUAUUAUAUAAGAAUAUGUAUUAUAUGAAUAAGGAUCGGCUAACUCCGUGCCAGCAGCCGCGGUAAUAC
rnacentral:rRNA from 1 species